rnacentral:misc_RNA from 1 species
AAGUCGUAACAAGGUUUCCGUAGGUGAACCUGCGGAAGGAUCAUUACAAAAUUUAUUGUGAUUGCGGAUUUAUUGGAGGGUAGAACUUCUGAUGAAUCCCGAUUACUAAGCCCACUCCCGAAAGGGAGAUGGAUGCAUGCAGCAAUGUGUGCAAAAUAGACUUUAAAUCAUGACUUAUUCCAAAAAGAAAAUAACCAAAACUUUUAACAAUGGAUCUCUUGGCUCUUGC